UGUGCCUGAGAACUCAGUUAACUAACUCGGUCUUUUCCCCUUGGGCUUAACACAUUGGGGCGCGGUUGUGGGGCGAGGGGUUGCGAACACGCGCGAGGGCUUCGACCUUGGAAGGGCUGGGGAAGCCGACGCCUCAGUACACUGUCAUGGCACCGACCCGUCCACUCCUUCCCCCCUGGCAUGCCCUCCUGAGGAAUGUCUUUGGCCAAUGACUUAAGGCUUCUAGAGGUGAUAUGUCACGCAAGUAACGACACCAGCUGGCCGCGGGGACAUCGACUGGAGCCACGGUACUGCAGGUCCCAGCAGAGGCCGAUAUGGGGCGGAAGAAAGAAGCCUGGAGACUAACCAGAGACCAGAAGACUGAACUCCAGUGCCCUUACGAGAACAGAGGCAUUCUCAGAUUCUGGAGCCGAACGAGCCAAGCAACAGAAUCCUAACUGAUGGGAGAAGGAAUUAACACUAGCCGCCCAGGCCCAUGUUUGCACACCACACUACCAGAGGAAAACUGGCGUCAUGGUAUUAGGACGCAGAGAAGAGGGCUGAAGCGGGGAGUUCCUAUAUGCUAAGAACUUCUACAGCAGAAACAAUAUUCAGGGGUUUGGAGCCCGCAAGCGGAACACAGGAUGUAUAAGCCCGCUGGCCCUUCCAUGAGAGCCCAAGCAUAACACUUUGGGUCAUGAUUUCUCAACUUCUUUAUUAAUGUUUUGUUAAUCCCUAUUAAACCAAGAUCCUUCUUAACGACUUGAC